rnacentral:lncRNA from 1 species
UCUUCCCCAAUUUCUCCAUCUCCCUCCCUCACUUGCUCUCUCUCUCCCUCUCCCUCUCUCUCUCUUAUGGUUAUUGCUUCCCCUAGGACUGCCAUAGUAGUCGUCGCUCCACCUCCUCCACCAUCGUCGCCGUCGCUUCGCCUCCACCACCAUUCCUCUUUGAAGUCCACCGGGCCGUGAUCUCUCCCUCUCUCUUAAGAUCUCUCAGAUACGA